rnacentral:rRNA from 1 species
GACGAACGCUGGCGGCGUGCUUAACACAUGCAAGUCGAACGGAAAGGCCCCCUUGUGGGGUACUCGAGUGGCGAACGGGUGGGUAACACGUGAGUAACCUACCCUUGCCUUUGGGAUAACUUCAGGAAACGGGGGCUAAUCCCGGAUAGGAGCUCCUGCUGCAUGGUGUGGGUUGGAAGGUUUCGGCGGUUUGGGAUGGACUUGCGGCUUAUCAGCUUGUUGGUGGGGUAGUGGCUCACCAAGGCUUUGACGGGUAGCCGGCCUGAGAGGGGGCCCGGGCACAUUGGGACUGCGAGACGGCCCAGACUCCUACGGGAGGCAGCAGUGGGGAAUAUUGCACAAUGGGCGGAAGCCUGAUGCAGCAACGCCGGGUGCGGGAUGACGGCCUUCGGGUUGUAAACCGCUUUCGCCUGUGACGAAGCGUUAGUGACGGUAAUGGGUAAAGAAGCACCGGCUAACUACGUG